AAUCCUGGCUCAGGAUGAACGCUAGCUACAGGCUUAACACAUGCAAGUCGAGGGGCAGCAUGAUUGAAGCUUGCUUCAAUUGAUGGCGACCGGCGCACGGGUGAGUAACACGUAUCCAACCUUCCGUACACUCAGGGAUAGCCUUUCGAAAGAAAGAUUAAUACCCUGAUGGUAUCUUAAGCACACAUGUAAUUAAGAUUAAAGAUUUAUCGGGUGUACGAUGGGGAUGCGUUCCAUUAGGUAGUAGGCGGGGUAACGGCCACCUAGCCUACGAUGGAUAGGGGUUCUGAGAGGAAGGUCCCCCCACAUUGGAACUGAGACACGGUCCAAACUCCUACGGGAGGCAGCAGUGAGGAAUAUUGGUCAAUGGACGAGAGUCUGAACCAGCCAAGUAGCGUGCAGGAUGACGGCCCUAUGGGUUGUAAACUGCUUUAUAAGGGAAUAAAGUGAGUCUCGUGAGACUUUUGCAUGUACCUUAUGAAUAAGGACCGGCUAAUUCCGUG
rnacentral:rRNA from 1 species